AACGAACGCUGGCGGCAUGCCUAACACAUGCCAGUCGAACGAGACCUUCGGGUCUAGUGGCGCACGGGUGCGUAACGCGUGGGAACCUGCCCUUAGGUUCGGAAUAACUCCCCGAAAGGGGUGCUAAUACCGGAUAAUGUCUUCGGACCAAAGAUUUAUCGCCUUUGGAUGGGCCCGCGUUGGAUUAGCUAGUUGGUAGGGUAAAAGCCUACCAAGGCGACGAUCCAUAGCUGGUCUGAGAGGAUGAUCAGCCACACUGGGACUGAGACACGGCCCAGACUCCUACGGGAGGCAGCAGUGGGGAAUAUUGGACAAUGGGCGAAAGCCUGGUCCAGCAAUGCCGCGUGAGUGAUGAAGGCCUUAGGGUUGUAAAGCUCUUUUACCCGGGAUGAUAAUGACAGUACCGGGAGAAUAAGCUCCGGCUAACUCCGUG
rnacentral:rRNA from 1 species